GGGAAAGACAGCCUUCACUAUAGAUUGAAGGGACUCCAUCUUGAAUCUGCGGAUAUGCAAGUAUCGAUUCAGUCUGUGUAAAUUUAGGAUGGGUCUCCACCCUCCCGAGGACUUUUUGGUCAGAAAUAAAUGUGAAUAGAAGCCGUGAGUCCUUUCUGACUCUGGGACUGGUACAAUGACUCCCUCUUCUUGUAGAAAAGAAAUGAAGACAUGAAGAGCAAGCCUUUUUACUUUGUCUCCCGGCCAACUUGUGACUUGGAAGGAACUGGAAGGAGGGUGUGUGCAAAAUACUAGAAGAUAUCCCCUUCUGAUGAUAGCCAGAACCCAGUUGUCGCUACGGAUCCCUCCCAUGCCACAUGGAAUUUGAGCGAGUGUGCUCCAACACCGCCUGAGAGGGAGAUGAGCUCGUCACAGAUUCCUGGGGUUCUUGGAGGGUGCGUAACCUCGGGACUUGCCGUCUCUAGCACCAUGUGGACCGCUCCUCCAGGAUUGAUUUCUCCCAUCAAGCACAAGCUGCCUUUGGAGGAAGCAUCAGCAGAUCAUGAUCUGAGUCAUAGCGCUCUCCUGGCCGAAACUGAGAGAGCCAUAUUUCUGGCUAAGGACCUCACCAGAUCUACCGCAGCCUCAGAUGAGAAGUCAACAGCCAAUCUCAAAUCUUUUAGGCUGUCCAGUAUGGAGGGAUGGCUCCUGCCGUUCUUAAUAUUCU